AAUCAACGCUGGCGGCGUGCCUCAGACAUGCAAGUCGAACGCGAAAGUCCCCUUCGGGGGACAAGUAGAGUGGCGCACGGGUGAGUAACACGUAGGUAAUCUACCUUCGGAUGGGGAAUAACAACCGGAAACGGUUGCUAAUACCGCAUAAUGCAGCGGCACCUAAUGGUGACAGUUGUUAAAGCGGGGGAUCGAAAGACCCCGCGUCUGAAGAGGAGCCUGCGGCGGAUUAGCUAGUUGGAAGGUAAUGGCUUACCAAGGCGACGAUCCGUAGCCGGCCUGAGAGGGCGGUCGGCCACACUGACACUGACAUACGGGUCAGACUCCUACGGGAGGCAGCAGUCGGGAAUUUUGGGCAAUGGGCGAAAGCCUGACCCAGCAACGCCGCGUGAAGGAU
rnacentral:rRNA from 1 species